rnacentral:misc_RNA from 1 species
AAGUCGUAACAAGGUCUCCGUUGGUGAACCAGCGGAGGGAUCAUUACAGAGUUGCAAAACUCCCCAAACCAUCGUGAACCUUUACCGCUAAACAGUUGCUUCGGCGGGUGGCCCGCCGGAGGAAUCCAAAAAACCAUCGCUUUCAGUACCGGCCUCUCUGAGUUAACUGUACUUUUAAUUAAGUCAAAACUUUCAACAACGGAUCUCUUGGUUCUG